rnacentral:rRNA from 1 species
GACGAACGCUGGCGGCGUGCUUAACACAUGCAAGUCGAGCGGUAAGGCCCUUUCGGGGGUACACGAGCGGCGAACGGGUGAGUAACACGUGGGUGACCUGCCCUCAGCUCUGGGAUAAGCCUGGGAAACCGGGUCUAAUACCGGAUAUGACUCCAUGACGCAUGUUGUGGGGUGGAAAGCCUUGUGCGGCUGAGGAUGGGCCCGCGGCCUAUCAGCUUGUUGGUGGGGUGANGGCCUACCAAGGCGACGACGGGUAGCCGGCCUGAGAGGGCGACCGGCCACACUGGGACUGAGACACGGCCCAGACUCCUACGGGAGGCAGCAGUGGGGAAUCUUGCGCAAUGGGCGAAAGCCUGACGCAGCGACG